rnacentral:rRNA from 1 species
GACGAACGCUGGCGGCGUGCUUAACACAUGCAAGUCGAACGAGAACGGGUUAUAGCUUGCUAUAAUUGUCAGCUAAGUGGCGCACGGGUGAGUAAUGUAUAGGUAAUAUGCCUCUUACUAAGGGAUAACAAAUGGAAACGUUUGCUAAUACAUUAUACUCCUUAUUAACAUAAGUUAAUAAGGGAAAGAUUUAUCGGUAAGAGAUUAGCCUGUAUUGUAUCAGUUAGUUGGUGGGGUAAUGGCUUACCAAGACUAUGACACAUAACUGGUUUGAGAGGAUGAUCAGUCACACUGGAACUGAGACACGGUCCAGACUCCUACGGGAGGCAGCAGUGGGGAAUAUUGCACAAUGGACGAAAGUCUGAUGCAGCAACGCCGCGUGGAGGAUGACACAUUUCGGUGCGUAAACUCCUUUUAUAUGAGAAGAUAAUGACGGUAUUAUAUGAAUAAGCACCGGCUAACUCCGUGCCAGCCGCCGCUGUAACAC